UUUGAGAAGCACUUGUUUGACCAUAUCUUGUGCUGAUAGUAUUGUUGGAUACAACCGAGUGCAGAACAGUAACCUCCUACGCUGAUUUAAUGCUGAUGAAAUGGCCUUGAAAGCCCACCACCGGAGGACUGACGGACACCAGCACUGUGUCCACUAAUGCCCAGAGAAAUGAAGGCAGUGGGAUGUGGCUUCUGAACUGUGCAUUUCAGGUUCUGAGACACUUACCACCUGGCAAAUUGACACCCAUCAAGACCACUGAUGUCAGAGUCCCUCCACUCAAACUCCAGCAAUGCCACUCACUCUUGUGACACUGAGAAAUUUGUCAACCUCUCCAGUCUUCUGCUUUAGGGCUUUAAGGUUCGACACAAGGAUCUGGAGGUCACGCCCGAGAGGGCGCAUUUCUCCCCAGCCUGCUUGACUCCUAGAUGCCUGCUCCACCCUCACAGUCUCUAAUUCCAAAGAACUUAAGUAACUGUGAAAGCAACACGUUCUUAAAAAACAAAACACCGAAUAAAGGUUUCUCC